rnacentral:misc_RNA from 1 species
GAUGAAGAACGUAGCGAAAUGCGAUAAGUAAUGUGAAUUGCAGAAUUCAGUGUAUCAUCGAAUCUUUGAACGCACAUUGCGCCCGCUAGUAUUCUGGCGGGCAUGCCUGUCCGAGCGUCAUUUCAACCCUCAAGCCCCCGGGCUUGGUGUUGGGGAUUGGCGAGCCUCCGCGCCCGCCGUCCCCUAAAUCUAGUGGCGGUCUCGCUGUAGCUUCCUCUGCGUAGUAGCACACCUCGCACUGGGAAACAGCGCGGCCACGCCGUUAAACCCCCAACUUCUGAACGUUUGACCUCGGAUCAGGUAGGAAUACCCGCUGAACUUAAGCAUAUCAAUAAGCGGAGGA